AUUUUUGGUCUGUGUAUUAUAGUGAGGUUUGGCUGGUGUAUUGUUGGUCUGUGUAUUAUAGUGAGGUUUGGCUGGUGUAUUGUUGGUCUGUGUAUUAUAGUGAGGUUUGGCUGGUGUAUUGUUGGUCUGUGUAUUAUAGUGAGGUUUGGCUGGUGUAUUGUUGGUCUGUGUAUUAUAGUGAGGUUUGGUUGGUGUAUUGUUGGUCUGUGUAUUAUAGUGAGGUUUGGCUGGUGUAUUGUUGGUCUGUGUAUUAUAGUGAGGUUUGGCUGGUGUAUUGUUGGUCUGUGUAUUAUAGUGAGGUUUGGCUGGUGUAUUGUUGGUCUGUGUAUUAUAGUGAGGUUUGGCUGGUGUAUUGUUGGUCUGUGUAUUAUAGUGAGGUUUGGCUGGUGUAUUGUUGGUCUGUGUAUUAUAGUGAGGUUUGGUUGGUGUAUUGUUGGUCUGUGUAUUAUAGUGAGGUUUGGUUGGUGUAUUGUUGGUCUGUGUAUUAUAGUGAGGUUUGGUUGGUGUAUUGUUGGUCUGUGUAUUAUAGUGAGGUUUGGCAGGUGCGUCUGUCUUGAAGUUCAGCCUUUACUCACUGCCAUUCAGAGAGGAACAGUUCAGUAGAGGGUUAAUGGAAGGAAACAAAGUUUACCCUUCUUUUGAGGAAAAAAAAUGCAUUAAAAAGAAGCGCUACU